ACAAUGAAGAGUUUGAUCCUGGCUCAGGAUUAACGGUAGCUACAGGCUUAACACAUGCAAGUCGAGGGGCAGCAUGAAAGUAGCUUGCUACUUUUGAUGGCGACCGGCGCACGGGUGCGUAACGCGUAUCCAAUCUACCCAUGGCUCAGGGAUAGCCUUUCGAAAGAAAGAUUAAUACCUGAUGGUUUCGCUUUUCCGCAUGGUUUAGCGAAUAAAGAUUUAUCGGCGAUGGAUGAGGAUGCGACUGAUUAGCUAGUUGGCGGGGUAACGGCCCACCAAGGCGACGAUCAGUAGGGGUUCUGAGAGGACGGUCCCCCACAUUGGCACUGAGACACGGUCCACACUCCUACGGGAGGCCGCAGUGAGGACUAUUGGUCAAUG
rnacentral:rRNA from 1 species